rnacentral:rRNA from 1 species
GACGAAGGACCCGAGCGUUAUCCGGAUUCAUUGGGUUUAAAGGGUGCGUAGGUGGAUUGGUAAGUCAGUGGUGAAAGCCCCAGGCUCAACUUGGGAACUGCCAUUGAUACUGCCGAUCUUGAGUGCACAUGAUGUGGGCGGAAUAUGACAUGUAGUGGUGAAAUACUUAGAUAUGUCAUAGAACACCGAUUGCGAAGGCAGCUCACAAAAUUGCUACUGACACUGAGGCACGAAAGCGUGGGGAUCAAAC